AUGGGGUCUCUGAUGGCCGGCUGGGAUUCGCCGGUUCUUGGCCAUGACACCAAAGCUCGUGUGAUGAGGAACCGGUCCCUGACGAAGGAGGAGGUGGAGGCCUUCUGGCGGCAGCGCAGGAAGCCGGCGCCGGAGGACGUCACCUCGCCGCUCAGCUCCCCUGGUCGACCUAUGGAGAAGAGCCCGCUGGGAAGCUCGCAGACGCAGAGGAGCAGGUCACCGGCGUCGUCUCCGGUGGCUGGCGGCCACGAGGAGAUCGACGCCGCCGACGCCGGCAAGAGCCGGGACUGGUGGACGAGGAGCAACUGGGCCUUCCUCAACGAACCGCCGCAGGAGGAGAGGCCGGGCACGGCGCACACCUACACGCCGCAGUUCCACGUCGCCGCCGGCAACGUCUGA
rnacentral:rRNA from 1 species